rnacentral:tRNA from 1 species
UCCCUGGAGGACUAGUGGUUAGGCCACAGCGCUCUCACCACUGCUGCCUGAGUUCGAUUCCCGGCCAGGGAA